rnacentral:lncRNA from 1 species
GCGAUCUGCCCGCCGCAGCCUUCUAAAGUGCUGGGAUUACAGCUCUCAGAGGACUUUGUAAUUGAAAAGACAGAAUCAUAGAAACAGUAAUCAGGUUCUCAGCAGACUUUUCAAAAUACGUUUCCAAACAUCCCUGUGGAAUUAAGACCAACAUUAGACAAUCUACUGAUUUUCCAGCCUGCUGGUGUCUCUCUGUGCUCAGAUUUUGAAUAAAUGAAUGACUUCAGCUUUGUUUUUCAAUUAAUUGUUAUUUAAUUUAAGACAUCUUAAGAGAUGUACAUAAAAGUACUUUGUAUAAGACAAAGGUGAAGAUUGCCUUAGGCAUAUUUGAGAAGGUUUGUUCAAUAAAAACUUAAGAAAAUAAGUGAA